CAAGAAUAUUAUGAAUGAAAAAGAGCCUCUCACAUGUCAGGAAAACGGAGUCAUAGAGUGAGUCAAAUAUAUUGUUUGUUCUUGUACGUUUGAAAACAAAUUGUCAGCUUUGUUUAAUCCUUCACUAACUGCAGCCUGCUGUACUAAGUAGGAAGGUUAGAAAAUCAGCUUCUGUUCUUGGAUCAGCCCUGGCCAUACCUUAGGACUUGACUGAGUCACUUUCACUCGUUUUCCCUUGUCAUGUUUUGUCUUCAUGGCCUUCCAGCUCCCUGAGAUGGAACCUGUAACUUUCUGGUUGUUUGCAUGGUGUGCAUUGCUGCUGUGAAAAGAGAAUGCCUAAUAGAAAAAAUGAUCAAGUUACUGAUGUAAGAAACCAGAGCAGAAUGAGAAACUAAACAGUCCCUGCAGACUUGGAUUAUGUUAAGAGGGAAGAGAGAAUAAGAGGAUUUUUAACCAGCUUCCUUCAUGCCCAGUUGUGAAGAUUGAGCUCUUUGUCUUGCUCCCAUGGCCUGGCUAUCUCAGAUCCAAUUUCUGGAGAACUAUGGAAAUAGAUCUUCAUCGAGGAUGGAAAAUCUUUUCUCCUGGCAGACCUGCUGAGUUCAGCUAUGAAUGGCCUGUCUUUCACUAG
rnacentral:lncRNA from 1 species